CUUGAGUGAUGGUAGGGGUUACUAUGCAUAAAGAACAACCCUGAAAGUGGCCAGUUUGUAAUCUCAGGGCGGUUAACUUAAUCAGUUUCUUCAACUAGAAAAUGGAGUGAUCCUAGCUGAUGGAAGAAAGAUCAAGAUAAUAAUGGCAUCAUAGUGCCAAGCAGCAAGAGUCUACUGAGGCCACAGGAGUGUUCCGUGGACACUAUCACGUUUCAUUCAAGAGCCUUCUUCCAGUAACUAAUGGAAGCAGAUGAAGAGAUCUACAGCCAAGCACCAGGCCGAGCUCCAGGAGUCCAGUCGAAGACAGGAAAGAGGGAUUCUAUGGGCAAGUGGCAUCAAGGUCAGGAUUUGAUUUCUUGAACACUUAACCUUUUCUCAAAACUCUUUGCUAGCCCAACUUACUUUAAGAAUUUCUCUACCUUGUGUCUAUUUACUAUUGGUAAGAGCACACCAACUGUGAUUGCUCCUGCCAAUAUGGUACCACCCACCUACUGAUGCUGCACAUUCUUCACAAGUCUCCCGUGAUGGAAGUGUCUGUGUUCAUUUCCAAACUCUUUCAUUCUCCCAAUAAAUAAAGAAACCAAAUGACUUUGUUUAUCCUCUCAUAGCUGCUUCUUCCAGUUUCUUCUCUGAAUCCCCCCAUCUCUCUGCUCCAUCUCUCGCCCCUUCUUCCCUUUGUUUAUGCCUUCCACCAGUGUCUUCAACUUUUCCUCCUCUACUGCUCCGUUGCCAUCAGUGUUUAGUUAUCUCUGUCCUCUGCUCCUUGUCAUUACUUUAAUGAUCUAAUUCCAUUUCCUUUUAGUCUGCUCACUCCUUCAUUCAGUGUUAACUGGCUUCUUCUACUAUAAUUCUGGAAAACAGUCAUCACUAAGCCAAGAAUCAUUAUCCAUUUUAUGAUAAAUUCAUCACAAUUCUAUAGGUCUUUGGGUAUGUCAUUUAUCUUUUAAAAUAUAUGCAAUGUGAUCAUUCUAAUCUCUAAAAUCCAGUAAUUAUCUUUCGUUAUCUUGUGCUUUUGUAUACCGCAUCACUAUGGGCAACCACAUAAAAAUUAAAUCCUUUGUACAAUUACAUUUGUCAUUUACAUUUUACAGUUGUCAUUUAAAAAAAUCAGGAUCAUGCUUCAUCAAGUUGUCAUUUUAAAGAAUCAGAAUUAUGCAUCAAAUAUAUAUCUGCUUUGACAUGUGUGCAAUUUUUAGAUAAAUAUGAAUUACUUCAUAUUGCAAAAUAUUGUUCUGGUUUUUUUGCAGCAUUUAUAUACUAUACUAACUUAAGCCUCUAUAGUAGUGAAUUGACCCAAAGUGGAGUGAGAAAAUGAUCAUCAGUACUUCUGAGAAAGGAGAUUUUCUUACUCAACAUUAUGCCCCAUGCACGUGGUAUGACAAGUUCAAUAAGCUGAUUGGUUGCUAUGCUCUGCUAUCUAACUCUUCCACUUCCCAGCUCCUCCCUGCACUAUGAAACCACAGCAGUGCCAAUGUCAGCAGCAAUGUGAUCUGUCAAUCUUAAGAGCCUCAGGAAAACGGUGACUUUCUAGUAUAAGGAUAUAGCUAAUCUGCAGAACCAGAGUCCUGGGCCUGAGCAGAACUCCCCGUGAGGGUGGAUGGGGGCAUGCAGUCUGCAUGCACCAUGCCAACACUGACUCUUGAUCCCAAGUUUCAGAGAAAUACAGGACCAUUUAUGGAUCUGUUGUGUGUUCAGGACGUGGGAGUGCCCACGUACAGAAAACAGUCCACGGUUGCUUUCCGAAUGGGGAUUAUAGGCAGUAAGUCCAGCUGAAAUAUUGUGAUGAUCAUUUUGACUUUACAGAUGAGGAAAAUCAGCCAUGAUGAGGGUCAAAUGUUGUGUUCAGCAUCACUAGCCUAAGGAGGGAUAUAUGUCUCAGAUUCAAGCCAAGAAGUCUGGCUCCAGUCCUAUGCUUUCUUAUUUAUAGUAUUUCCAGAAAGAUCUGUCAACCAAACGUCAGGAUGCCAGGAACUAAGACUACAACUAAGCAAAAACUAAAUCAUUACCUUCAGAAGGAGCUCUUGUUUCUCUACUCUGCAAAUGAGCUAUUGAAGGCGAUAGUUAAGCAUCCACCUUGCCUUUUCCUUUAGAAUCGGCAGUGCAGGCUAACCAGAGGGGCCCCGUUCAAAGGAGGAAAGUGGGGGGAAACUCUUCUUUGUGAUUAAAUGUCUCUGUAGGUGAUCAGGUGAUGCAAGGAGGCUAAAACUCGGGCACCCGUUUCCUUUGCUUUUUCUCUUUCCUUUUCUGCCAUCCCAAAGCUUAUCCUUGGCAGAUGCUGCAUAAUAGCAGCAAAGCCACUCUAGAGGGAGUCCCUCACCCAUUUCCUCAGCUCCAAAAGGAAGCCAGUUGUUAAGAAGAAAUUAAUUUAUGCUAAUGUCUCAAAACCCUGCCAAAACGUUCCUUGGGAUCUCCAUUAACAUUUAAUAUAUUCUAGCUGCAUCAAUAUAAAUUUCAGCAUUGAUGUAGUAAUUGAAGAUCUGCAAUAUCCCUUAAAGAUUGCUUUUAUAUUAAUCUGCUAAUGGAAAGCAAGGUGAGCAGAGUGUUAUUAGACUGAGCAAUGUCAGCUACGUGUAAAGAAUGCUCUAAGGAGCAAAUGUAUGGGAGUCGAAAUUGCUCAUAUGACCUUCGCUAAGUUUUCAGAUAUUAGAUAUGAUUGCUCUAAUUCCCAGGCAAUUUCCCUCAGAGAAUCUAAGGUAUCUGGAAAAUUUUGUUCAGGAUUAGGGUCUGGCUAUCAUAGGAUACUGAUACCGCUUGUCUACAGUUUUGGUAUAUUAAGACAAUAUUCUACCUGUUCUAGAAGCAUCUAUUCCUGCUCUCCUAGUAUUCAGCUGGUAGCACAUUUCAAGUUAGUAAAGUCCCAGUAAUGACUAAACACUCUUAGAGAGCAUUCUGCUGCUAGCUCCCUAAUGAAGCACAGCACUCUGGGAUUUCCUCAAAGCCUUCAAUUUUGAACAGUGACAUUUCAAACAUUAACACCUAUAGAAAAAGAUGGAGAAGGGGGUGAUGGAAGAAGGCUUCAGUGUCCUUCCACGGGUAUCUCCAUGUGGAGUAAGCCUGCUCCUUAUAGGAAAGAAGAACAAGGACUGUACAGCACUGUCACCUCUUUCCUAAUUCUUCACUGUGUGACAUCAUGGAUUCCUCCAAGGACCUAUGCAGACCUAGAUGACAAUGUGCAAACAAACAAUGCCAAUGGAAUUUUGUCUAGAAGGUACUUUCAUUUACACCAAUGUGUUUUAAACAAACUCAUCGUUUCUUUAAGGCUCAGGAUAGAAACUAUUUUCCCAUCUCAUGAGAAGUGAUAUCUAUUGUCACUUAACAACCUCCAUAAACAUGCAGAAUAUUGUGCUGGUUGUCUACGUGUCUCAGUUUCUUUUCCAGGUGCUGUCAUGAAAUAUUCUGUCAAAAGCAACUCAAUGGAGAACGGUUUGUUCUGGUUCACAGGUCAAGAGUACAGUCUGUUAGAGUGGGUAAGUCAAGACAGUUGGAGCUUGAAGCAACUGGUCACAUCACCUCCAUUAUCAGGAAGCAGAAAGCUGCUACUGAAUGCUAACACUCAGCUCUCUUAUUCCUUGCGUACAGUCCAAGACCCCAGCAAGGAAUGCCACAGUCCACAGUAGGCAAUCUUCUCCUCUCUGUAUAAUCACCUACAGGCAUACACAGAGGUCUGUCUUCCAGGUCAUUCCAGAUUUAUGUAGUUGACACUAAACAUCCUAUCAGAGGUUGGAGUGACGACUCAGUGGUUAAAAGGGCCUACUGCUCUAGUAGAGGACUCAAGUUUGGUUCCCGAUACCCAUUCAGAGGGCUUACAACCACCACCUGUAACUUCAGCUCUAAGUGAUCCUUCAUCCUCUUCUUGAUUCAAAGGGCACUGUACUUGUGUACACAUAACCCCUUCCAGCCCCCAUAUAUACAUAGUAAAAAUAUAAAAUAGAUCUUAAGCAUCAUACUGAACUUUCCAUCAUUCUCUCAGAAUGUCCAUAUUUAUUUUUCUGAAAGUGAAAGUACAAGAAAAAGUUGAAAGAAUUCAAGUAUCUUAGUCAUUCAGGAAAGGAAAAAGAGAAGAUAUUUCCUGGUGGAAGAAAUGAGCCAGGAAUGGCUAGCUUCUGAUACCUCUCAGCAAGGUAGAGCCACAAAAGGACACAGAUCCAGACAGGACAUCCACGGAGAGCCAGGCCUGGGCAGAGCAUGCCAAGGUCAAGAACUAAAGUUCCAGAACAUCCAGCAAGAGUGAAUGCUUCAGGGCGGGGAGAGAAUGCAGGGUAGGCUGGGCACAGGAACAGAGAGGGACCAGCCCGGGUCACCUGUCCUUGUUCUAUGCCUCCCUACUUGAAUGUCCUGCCAGAAAGUCCUAAGGCAGAAGUUUGUUUUUUUUCUUAAUACAACUAGCAAAAUACAAAGCUACCAUAAUGGUCAGGACCACAAGAUAAAGCCUAGCUGAAAAGCAGUUCACAAAGCAGCACUCCACACAUGACUAGUCCUAGGAACCGGGAUUCUUGGAGAUUUUGAUGUGGUAGACUGAAAGGGAUCCAGGAAUGAGGUUUCCAUCCUCAAAGUGACUCUAGAGCCUGAUAGGAUGGGGGAAGGAGCUACACAGAACUGUGAGCUUUGAUGUGCUGCAAGUUUACUUACCAUGCACCUGAGGCAAGGAUUUUAAUACUUCAGAUGUUUGACUGCUUCAUGUAUAAAGCAUGAAAACUAAAUUGCCUCAUAAUGCCUGGGCACGUGGGGGGUUCAGUGGUUAAGAGAGUUUGCUACUGUUUCAGAGGACCUGGCUUUGGUUCCCAACACCCACAUGAUGGCUUACAACCAGCCCUAAUUCCAGUUCCAGGCCAUCUGACGCACUCUUCUGAACUCUGCAAGCACUAGGCACCCACAUGGUGCACAGAGGUACAUGCAGGCAAAACACUCACAUGCGUAGUACAAAAUACAUAAAUCUAAAAGAGUCUUAAUUGUCUUCUAAAAUCGACCUCUCCCGCCAUGAACACGGAGGGACUUGAACUUGGUAACUACCUCUGUCUGUAGAUUCCUUCACGGUAUUCUAGAUGUUAAGACUUGGUAUAUGACAGAAAACUCCCCGCUGUUUAGACAGAAGAUUUUCACUUGCUUUACAAAGAACAAUCUUGAAACUUUCAAAUGAAUAGGAAAUAAGAAUAACUAAGGAGAGAUCAGAUGUCAGACUGCAUUUGCUAAGUACAACCACUACCAGAGGAACCCUACACACCAGGCAAGGUAGAGAAGACUGAAGGAGAACGUAUUGACAUGUACAGCAUGACCAGCAUGUUACAGUCCUGAACCAGUGGUUUCCAGGGCAGCUCCUAUAUCUGGUAGUAACAGCUGCCCCAUCAUAGUGAUACAGUGGUCACAAUCUCACACGAGAGAACACACAUUUGGAGAGGCUUCAAAGGUAUUCAAAGACAAAAAUAGUGAAGAAAUGUGCAGUGAUUUCACUUCUGAAUUCAACUCAAGCUCCUAUCUUAUCAAAUAUGGCUGGCUUCUAGCCAGCAGCUUCCCAUUUCAUCAUGCAGACCAUCUUGGAACCCUAAGUUUGUUGAAAGAGAGACUCCAUGGGUAAAUGAUUGCAUCCCAGUACCUGUCUUAAUUUGGAGAAGUCUCUAUGCCAGUGAGGCAAACCCCAGUGUGUUGAACUCGAGGGGAGAGAUUGUGAUCUAGCUCUGAUCAACAAAGUGUUUGACGGAAAAAAAUGUUCUCACUCUCAGUCCUGAACAACAAUAAAUACUGUUUUCCAACAUAUUUCUAUAAUGCCUGAUCAUGAGGAAGGAAGCCUAGGAAAAAGGCAGACUCAUGAAAGAUCACAAAGUAGAAAGGAGAGAGAAAUCUGGGCCCUUGAUGAUGUCAUCGAGCUGCUGAACUGAGCACCAGGAAGCUGUCUUACUCUACACUCUUAUUAUGUAGUAUAACAAAUGCACAUGGCAUUUGUAAACUGGGUUACAUGUUAAUUGCAAGUGGAAACAUCCUGAGAGACAUAAAUUGCAUGGCAGGAGAUAAAACAGAUGAAGCACCAGCUCAGGAUGGUGGAGAGAGAACACCAUGUCGGUUUAUGAGCAACUCAAAUGGCAUGGAAAUGAAGAUUCCACCUGUAGAAGCAUGCAUACACACAUGGGGUUUUCAAAACAGUGUCUGAAGAACACGGCAAGUUCUUUCCUAACUUUAUCAGUUCAUGUCCCAAAGUCUCACAAGACUCCCUUACAUGGGUUGCUCAUUAAAAUUGUGGGAAAGCUUAAAAAUACCAAAGCUCAGGCCAUCCCUGGAGAUUCUGACUUAAUUGGUCCAGGAACUUCAACAUAGAUUUUUAAAAGCUCCCAAGGUAGUUCUAACAGGCAGGCCAGGUCAGGAGUGGCUUGCCAAUACCUUUCUGCAGAAAACAAGCAAAACACAUUGUUUCAAAUGCCGGGCUGCCUCAGGGAAUAAUCCAGGCUUGGCCAGAUCACACUGGAUGCACAAGAUCUCCUUUCCCUAGGAAUAUUCUAUUGUUUUAAAGAAUAGGGAGCGGGGCAGUGGGAGCAGAAGUCAGCAUUACAAAACCUCAGGCCACUCGGGGUUCUGCCGCUGUUGGGUAACAAAGGAGAAGCUGUAUAUCUUUUUCGGGUCUCUUCAGUUACUUGGAAUUGUGCGAAAUCAUGGACUGACCCUGGCCAGUCAAGUUGCCCCUUGUACAUAUGACAUGUAUUUUCUGCCAGGACACUGUAAGGAUCAGUUAAAUGACUUGUGUGAGAUGGUUUACAAACAGCAAAGCGUCCUUCCUGUCUGAGGUGUUGUGCUUAGUGAGUGAGCAGGUACAACAUUAGUCAUUUCCAGAGUGCCGCCCACUGGUUAGUCCGUGCUUGGAGCGCUGCAGUUGUUCAGGGUUUCUGUCUUUUCCGCUCAUUAGAUUCUUUUGGUGGGGAAGGACAGGAAUCAUCACCGCAUUGACUUCCUUCACAUUUUAAUUUAAGCUGUCUGCAGUGCGAAGUGGCCAUCCGGAAUUUUUAAAACCCUCUGCCUUCCUCGCCGGCAACUGGGGACCUCCAAAUCCAGAUCCAUCUAAACCGUGGUGUUCUGUAAGCCCUUUCCUCUUUCCUAUUUGUUCCAAGAGCCUCAGCUCUGACCUCUUGUUGGACCCUGAGUCCCAGUCAGCUGUGAUGCCCAAUUGCCUUACAGAGCACAGCUCGGGGACUUGGCCCUGAAUGCCUAGCUGCUUUAUGACGUCAGCUCUGGAAUCAGGUGAGAGCUUUGUCCUCUGAGUCAUGAUCCUCUGGGAUGAGGUUACCACUUGCACCCCCCCAGUCCCAGAUGCCUCCGGCUCAGUUUAUUCCAUUGACAAACUGCUGAGGCGGCUCCUACCUGGGCCCUCUGGGAUGUGUGGAUCUGAUCCACUCACCACCUGCAGGUCAUUUAGAGGCCAGGCAGCAAAUGGCUGGUGUGGGGGUGUGGGAGGGGGUGUUCUUCCUAUCCCAAUUGUCCUAUCUGCUGUUACAUUUACUGCCUUAGGAAACCACUCCAGGAUCAUCACCCACUCUUGGAAUUAGAGGAAUAAAUACGGGCAGGAAGACCAGUUCUCACUCAGGUGGAGUCUGGUGCCACCUUUUCACUGGAACUUCAUAUAGAUGGGCAGGGCUUGAAAGAGCUGCUGAUGGCCCAGUGUGGUUUAGGACUGUGAGAUCUUCUUUCGGGAAAGACACAUACUGGAGAACCCUGUCACUGGUUAGGGAAAACAGGAGACCUGCAAUCCUCUGCAGCACUGAGAAGGGCUGUCUCAAAUCACUGCUGGCAGCUAUCCCCCUGCCUCAAUACCCAGACAUUCUGUGUCUUGCUCCUCAGUUAAUAGUUUUCCUGUUAUUGUGGUUAUGGGUCUUCAGAUCAUUAAGUCACUCACUGAACUGUGAACUCCCAAAUGGCAGAGCAUAGUUUUACUUCACCUUAGGGUCAGAUGGGAACUGAUGAGCACCAAGUCUGGGUAACAAUGAACGAGCGGAUGAACUGUGAAGAAACUAAAGAAGAUUUGAAAGGAUGAAUGUUUCAGAAAGCGUCUCCCUCUGUGUUUGGAGGAGCACUCUCUGUGACCACAGCACAACACUUCUUCAACAAGCUGGUCCUCUACCCUUCUCUCCUUAAGUGAGCAGAUGUGCUUGGCCCCUGCUUCUCUCCUGGACACAGGAUGAGUUUUCUGUCGGUUCUCACUGGGAUGCAACUCUUCCAGAGCACUCAGUGUGGUGCCUCCACCCUCCUCCGGGCAAAGACUCUCUUUGUUUGUGCCAUGUACUGUUUUCAACGGUUCCCUCUGUUCAUCCACAGCAGAAACGGGCUGUAGCUGACAGCACCCCUUUGUGACGUUGCUGCUUCAGGAUGACAUCUAUGAGGGCUGCUCUGGUCCCCACUGGUGAUGCACAAAGGUUGGGGAAACCAGAUUUCUGGGAGGAGUGACAGACUGCACAUUGAGAUACUCUCAACAAACAAUGUCAUCUAGAAUCAUCACAAGAACAAUGAUACUCUAUGCAGAGACCUCUAGAAAUUUACUAUCUGUGAUACUUGUAGCAGAGUAAAUACCAUGUAUAAUAAAAGAACUCCUUUUAUUGAUA